rnacentral:rRNA from 1 species
GACGAACGCUGGCGGCGUGCUUAACACAUGCAAGUCGAACGGAAAGGCCCUGCUUUUGUGGGGUGCUCGAGUGGCGAACGGGUGAGUAACACGUGAGUAACCUGCCCUUGACUUUGGGAUAACUUCAGGAAACUGGGGCUAAUACCGGAUAGGAGCUCCUGCUGCAUGGUGGGGGUUGGAAAGUUUCGGCGGUUGGGGAUGGACUCGCGGCUUAUCAGCUUGUUAGUGAGGUAGUGGCUUACCAAGGCUUUGACGGGUAGCCGGCCUGAGAGGGUGACCGGCCACAUUGGGACUGAGCUACGGCCCAGACUCCUACGGGAGGCAGCAGUGGGGAAUAUUGCACAAUGGGCGGAAGCCUGAUGCAGCAACGCCGCGUGCGGGAUGACGGCCUUCGGGUUGUAAACCGCUUUCGCCUGUGACGAAGCGUGAGUGACGGUAAUGGGUAAAGAAGCACCGGCUAACUACGUG